UACGUAGGGCGCAAGCGUUGUCCGGAAUUAUUGGGCGUAAGGAGCUCGUAGGUGGUCUGUUACGUCUGCUGUGAAAACCCAGGGCUUAACCCUGGGCCUGCAGUGGAUACGGGCAGACUAGAGGUAGGUAGGGGAGAAUGGAAUUCCCGGUGUAGCGGUGAAAUGCGCAGAUAUCGGGAGGAACACCGGUGGCGAAGGCGGUUCUCUGGGCCUUACCUGACACUGAGGAGCGAAAGCGUGGGGAGCGAACAGG
rnacentral:rRNA from 1 species